rnacentral:lncRNA from 1 species
GUGUUUAGAUGUAUGUGUUGCCUCAUGAAUUCAACACUUUUUUGUCUCUAUUCCAAGGUCCAGAGGUCAGACGUUUAACUACUGGCUGGAAUGGUGGAAAGGGGGAAUGUAAGGAGAAAAGCCGGCCAUCGCAUGACACAACUAUAAACCGGUUUUUCUAGAAUAUAUCACCGGCAACUAUGGUGAUGACAGCUUCUGUAACAUCCUUUCAUCGUUUCAAAAGGUAACCACUUUAGCUUUGUCUCAUUACACCAUAAUUCCUGAGUGCUGGU